UCUCCGUAGGUGAACCUGCGGAGGGAUCAUUACAGAGUUCAUGCCCUACCGGGUAGAUCUCCCACCCUAUGUUAUUAUUACUUUGUUGCUUUGGCGGGCCGUUAGGCUCCGGCCCGACUACCGGCCCCGGCUGGUAAGCGCCCGCCAGAGGACCCAAAACCCUGAAUAUUAGUGUCGUCUGAGUACUAUAUAAUAGUUAAAACUUUCAACAACGGAUCUCUUGGUCCUG
rnacentral:misc_RNA from 1 species